AAGAAUCGCCCCGUUUUUUGAAAUGGGUUCUAUUCCCAAACCGUGUAUACAUACCUUUGUUGCUUUGGCAGGCCGCCGCUUAGGCGUUGGCUCCGGCUGACUGCGCCUGCCAGAGGACCCUAACUCGUUUGUUUAGUGAUGUCUGAGUACUAUAUAAUAGUUA
rnacentral:misc_RNA from 1 species